GGAGGCGGUUGGUCGCUGGUGCGGCCCCCAGACUUCAAAUCUGGUGUGGGUCAGUGAGGGCUGGCCCGGGUGGGUUCGAUUCCCACGCGCCUCCGCCA
rnacentral:tRNA from 1 species